CAGUAGCCACGGUAAUACGUAGGUGGCAAGCGUUGUCCGGAAUUAUUGGGCGUAAAGCGCGCGCAGGUGGUUUAAUAAGUCUGAUGUGAAAGCCCACGGCUCAACCGUGGAGGGUCAUUGGAAACUGUUAAACUUGAGUGCAGGAGAGAAAAGUGGAAUUCCUAGUGUAGCGGUGAAAUGCGUAGAGAUUAGGAGGAACACCAGUGGCGAAGGCGGCUUUUUGGCCUGUAACUGACACUGAGAGACGAAAGCUAGGGGAGCAAAUGGGAUUAGAUACCCCAGUAGUCCCUGUCUCUUAUAC
rnacentral:rRNA from 1 species